AACGUAGGGGGCCAGCGUUGCUCGGAAUUACUGGGCGUAAAGGGUCCGUAGGCGGUGUGGCAAGUCGGAAGUGAAAUCUCUGGGCUUAACCCAGAGGCUGCUUCCGAAACUGCCGUGCUAGAGUGCGAGAGAGGCGAGUGGAAUUGCGGGUGUAGCGGUGAAAUGCGUAGAUAUCCGCAGGAACAUCCGAGGCGAAAGCGGCGCGCUGGAUCGCAACUGACGCUGAGGAGCGAAAGCGUGGGGAGCGAACAGG
rnacentral:rRNA from 1 species